rnacentral:rRNA from 1 species
UGGGGAAUUUUGGACAAUGGGGGAAACCCUGAUCCAGCCAUCCCGCGUGUGCGAUGAAGGCCUUCGGGUUGUAAAGUACUUUUGGCAGGAAAGAAACGUCAUGGGUUAAUACCUCGUGAAACCGACGGUACCUGCAGAAUAAGCACCGGCUAACUACGUGCCAGCAGCCGCGGUAAUACGUAGGGUGCAAGCGUUAAUCGGAAUUACUGGGCGUAAAGCGUGCGCAGGCGGUUCGGAAAGAAAGAUGUGAAAUCCCAGAGCUCAACUUUGGAACUGCAUUUGUAACUACCGGGCUAGAGUGUGUCAGAGGGAGGUGGAAUUCCGCGUGUAGCAGUGAAAUGCGUAGAUAUGCGGAGGAACACCGAUGGCGAAGGCAGCCUGCUGGAAUAACACUGACGCUCAUGCACGAAAGCGUGGGGAGCAAACAGG